CUACGGGGGGCACCAGUGGGGAAUAUUGCACAAUGGGGGAAACCCUGAUGCAGCAACGCCGCGUGGAGGAUGACGCAUUUCGGUGUGUAAACUCCUUUUAUAUAGGAAGAUAAUGACGGUACUAUAUGAAUAAGCACCGGCUAACUCCGUGCCAGCAGCCGCGGUGAAUACGGAGGGUGCAAGCGUUACUCGGAAUCACUGGGCGUAAAGCGCGCGCAGGCGGCCUUUUAAGUUGGAUGUGAAAGCCUAUAGCUUAACCAUAGAACUGCAUCCAAAACUAUCAGGCUAGAGUCUGUGAGGGGAAGAUGGAAUUAGUUGUGUAGGGGUAAAAUCCGUAGAGAUAACUAGGAAUACCAAAAGCGAAGGCGAUCUUCUGGAACAGUACUGACGCUGAGGCGCGAAAGCGUGGGGAGCAAACAGGAUUAGAUACCCGAGUAGUC
rnacentral:rRNA from 1 species